rnacentral:tRNA from 1 species
GCGUCGGUGGCCUGCCGCCAGGGGGAGCCCUCCAUCGAGGACGACUGGUCGAGGAGCAGCAUGAGGCGGACGAUCUCGUGGUGCAGGUUGAAGUCCUGCUCGGCGCA